AACGAACGCUGGCGGCAUGCCUAACACAUGCAAGUCGAACGAGAUCUUCGGGUCUAGUGGCGCACGGGUGCGUAACGCGUGGGAAUCUGCCCUUUGGUUCGGAAUAACAGUUGGAAACGACUGCUAAUACCGGAUGAUGACGAAAGUCCAAAGAUUUAUCGCCAGAGGAUGAGCCCGCGUAAGGAUUAGCUAGUUGGUGUGGUAAAGGCGCACCAAGGCGACGAUCCUUAGCUGGUCUGAGAGGAUGAUCAGCCACACUGGGACGGAGACACGGCCCAGACUCCUACGGAAGGCAGCAGUGGGGAAUAUUGGACAAUGGGCGAAAGCCUGAUCCAGCAAUGCCGCGUGAGUGAUGAAGGCCUUAGGGUUGUAAAGCUCUUUUACCCGGGAUGAUAAUGACAGUACCGGGAGAAUAAGCUCCGGCUAACUCCGUGCCAGCCGCCGCCGUAA
rnacentral:rRNA from 1 species